AUACGGAGGGUGCAAGCGUUAAUCGGAAUUACUGGGCGUAAAGCGUACGUAGGCGGUUCGUUAAGUUAGAUGUGAAAGCCCCGGGCUUAACCUGGGAACUGCAUUUAAAACUGGCGAACUAGAGUUGAGUAGAGGGGAGUGGAAUUUCAGGUGUAGCGGUGAAAUGCGUAGAGAUCUGAAGGAACACUAGUGGCGAAGGCGACUCCCUGGACUCGAACUGACGCUGAGGUACGAAAGCGUGGGUAGCAAACGGGAUUAGAAACCCUAGUAGUCC
rnacentral:rRNA from 1 species